AAUGGGGCUAGACUCAUCCUGGAGCGGCCAUAAUUCCAGCGGGACAGACAGACAGACAACAGUGAACCUCAUGAGCAUGAACGGGGCCUCCCUGCUGCGUCCUCGCCAAGCUGGCAGCCUUCCGUGCAUCCUCAAGCGUGGAACGCGCCGCCUCCGAGACAGAAGGGGUCUGCCAGGCGUCCUUCCCCGGGGGGAGCAGCCUUGCGUGGACCCUUGGACCCUGUAUUUUUCACCUCAUUUCACAGUGGAGGAGACCAAGGCUCAGA